UGGGGAAUAUUGGACAAUGGGCGAAAGCCUGAUCCAGCCAUGCCGCGUGUGUGAAGAAGGUCUUCGGAUUGUAAAGCACUUUAAGUUGGGAGGAAGGGCAGUAAGCGAAUACCUUGCUGUUUUGACGUUACCGACAGAAUAAGCACCGGCUAACUCUGUGCCAGCAGCCGCGGUAAUACAGAGGGUGCAAGCGUUAAUCGGAAUUACUGGGCGUAAAGCGCGCGUAGGUGGUUCGUUAAGUUGAAUGUGAAAGCCCCGGGCUCAACCUGGGAACUGCAUCCAAAACUGGCGAGCUAGAGUAGGGCAGAGGGUGGUGGAAUUUCCUGUAUAGCGGUGAAAUGAGUAGAUAUAGGAAGGAACACCAGUGGCGAAGGCGACCACCUGGGCUCAUACUGACACUGAGGUGCGAAAGCGUGGGGAGCAAACAGG
rnacentral:rRNA from 1 species